rnacentral:rRNA from 1 species
CAGUGUACCCGCGGCAAGACGGAAAGACCCCGUGAACCUUUACUAUAGCUUGACACUGAACACUGGUCCUUGAUGUGUAGGAUAGGUGGGAGGCUUUGAAGCGUGGACGCCAGUCUGCGUGGAGCCGACCUUGAAAUACCACCCUUUAAUGGCUGGUGUUCUAACGUAGACCCGUGAUCCGGGUUGCGGACAGUGUCUGGUGGGUAGUUUGACUGGGGCGGUCUCCUCCCAAAGAGUAACGGAGGAGCACGAAG